GGGUCCGCCAGACCAUAGAGAGACCCGCCGUCCUAGAGGGGAAGGACGGUGCCGGCGGGCGGGGCGUCCUCUCUAUCCCGCCGCCGUGCUGCUCUUCCGGACUCGUUGGUGGCGGCGAAAGAGGCGUGCUUUGCUGGGUACGCGGAGCUCAGUUUCAGACGUCAGUUGGUGGAGGCGUGCGCCUGAAGAUGGUGUGAAAACAUUUAAGGGGUAGUAGGUGGGUGUGUUGGUUAGUGUUGGGUCACUUUGACACGUGCAGAGUCCAGAGGAACCUCCGCUGAGAAAAACGCUGCCUCCAGGGCAGAAGAGGUAGCUCUGGGUCCAGGUCCACUCCACAAUACCUGCCCGCAAGAUGAAUUCAAUAUAACUUCGUUGUUGUUCAAAUGAAACCACAUGCUAAUACUUAGAAAUGGAAAUACAUAAAAAAUGUAAUUAGAAGUUACAUUAGAAAAUAAUUAAAUUAGAAAAUGUAAUUAUAUAAUUUUUUUGAUCAUAAGAAUGCAAUGUUGUAUUUCUCUAGUUGGCAUACAAGAAAGCAAUGUUUAAGAAUUGAACCCAUUAUUUUAAAUACUGUUAAAAAUCACAGGGAAAUACUAGUUUCUAUGAGAAUAUAAGGAAAAUGUAUGUUGUACUUUAUUUAUAAUUAAAGACACACCACUGAUUUAACACAUGAA